rnacentral:tRNA from 1 species
GCCUUCGUGGUGCAGUGGUCAGUACUCUCGAAGCGUAUUCGAGAGGUCCGUGGUUCGAAUCCCUCCGAAGGUA